rnacentral:rRNA from 1 species
UACGUAGGGUGCGAGCGUUGUCCGGAUUUAUUGGGCGUAAAGAGCUCGUAGGCGGCUUGUUGCGUCGACUGUGAAAACCCGCGGCUUAACCGCGGGCUUGCAGUUGAUACGGGCAGGCUAGAGUUCGGUAGGGGAGACUGGAAUUCCUGGUGUAGCGGUGAAAUGCGCAGAUAUCAGGAGGAACACCGGUGGCGAAGGCGGUUCUCUGGGCCUUACCUGACGCUGAGGAGCGAAAGCGUGGGGAGCGAACAGG